GAGAGUAUAGCUCAGUGGUAGAGUGUGUGCUUAGCAGGCGUGAGGUCCUGGGUUCAAUCCCCAGUACCUCCA
rnacentral:tRNA from 1 species